GAUGAACGCUGGCGGCGUGCUUAACACAUGCAAGUCGAACGAAGCAUCCAUGAUUGAGACUUCGGUGGAUUGAUUGGAUGACUGAGUGGCGGACGGGUGAGUAACGCGUGGGCAACCUGCCCUGUACAGGGGGACAACAGUUGGAAACGACUGCUAAUACCGCAUAAUGUACAGAGGGGGCAUCCCUUUUGUAUCAAAGGAGAAAUCCGCUGAAAGAUGGGCUCACGUCUGAUUAGCUAGUUGGUGGGGUAAAGGCCUACCAAGGCUGCGAUCAGUAGCCGGACUGAGAGGUUGAACGGCCACAUUGGGACUGAGAUACGGCCCAG
rnacentral:rRNA from 1 species